rnacentral:lncRNA from 1 species
AUGACUUCAGCUCUGUGCCUCCUCUCCCAUCCCAAAAGCUCCACACCCACACAGGCGCAGGACAGCAGCAAAUGGUGCCAGAGCAUAUCAACUCCAAAAGCUAACCCUCAGAGCCUUGAGGAAGCAGGGCCUGCGUGGAUGCUGUGGGGUAACACACUGUGGGGAACACACUUCGUGGCUGCAGGAAGCCCUCUUCGGGAGGAAGAUGUUGAAGUUGAAGAAGGAACAUCCUUGGAUUCCUCCUCACCUAUCGCAGGAAGGAGGAUGUUAUCUCUCAGGAGUGGAACACACAGCAUGGCCCUGAUUUCCACAGUGGGACUUAUCAGCAGGACUCACCUCAUCAGGAACUCAACUCUUUCCAACAUCAGCUCAGCUGAAGACUGCUGCAGACGCCUGAAGGACCAGACUCUGUCUCUCCUCCAGUACGCCUCUCUGAGUUGCUUGAGAGCUCCCACUACAGAUCCGAAGGCCCUUCCUGCCGUCUGCAGAGAGGACCCGUGGAGGAUUCCCCUUGACUCCACCUUCUAUCUGACACAGCCUCGGAAGCUUUACGGUGUUCUGACUUGAGCACACACAGUCUGUCCCUUACCUCUGCAGGUAAGUGCCACCCGACACAAGCGCUUUCUCCUCAAACAUAGCAACCAGGAGAACCUGAAGCACUUCUCACACCGGGUACCCGAUUUGAUGCCAGCAGGCAGAGCCCCAUGCCCCCAGCCGUGGUUCUACUCCCUGCUGCUUUCUAAUAUAAACUUUCCUUGGGGACACUGUCACGGAGCCUGUGGGUCAGCCCCUACCAUGCUUGCUCAUCUCUCUAAUGAAAGUGGCUCAGAGGUCCUCCCCUUCUGCCCCUUGGAUAUUGGCUUCCCUAAGGGAGGAUCUCUGUGCAACCGUGCUCUUCCUACAGCCUGCCCCUGUCCAGCUCGCAAAAACAGAGGAAUAAGGACCCAUUGUGGCAAACCAUAGAAUACUUGGGGGACAGUCGGCCUUGAGUUCUGCACGUUCAAGAUUCAUUUGAGAGGAUCUCACCAGUUGUCGGCUCCAGAGAAAUCAAGAGCGGGUAGGGGUGUGUGGAUUAGGAUGGCAUCGACCGAAUCGGAGAAGUGAUUAUUUUAAGGAUGAAUCCAAGCCUGACUGCUGAAGUUGACUCUCAGGGCCAAGGAACCUGGACAGGAGUGAUAUGGACCUGCCAGACAAGGAGGCCCAGGCCGGGAGCUGCUGCAGAUCUCCAGUUGACUGCUGUCUGAGUGCGUGCAUGUCAGUACUUCUGCAGAUGUCCUGUUCUAGACCCCACUAAGUCCUGAUUAGAGUGUAAUUCAAAC